rnacentral:rRNA from 2 species
GAGUAAUGUAUAGGAAUCUACCUAGUAGUACGGAAUAAUUGUUGGAAACGGCAACUAAUACCGUAUACGCCCUACGGGGGAAAAAUUUAUUGCUAUUAGAUGAGCCUAUAUUAGAUUAGUUAGUUGGUGAGGUAAAGGCUUACCAAGACAAUGAUCUAUAGCUGAUCUGAGAGGAUGAUCAGCCACACUGGAACUGAGAUACGGUCCAGACUCCUACGGGAGGCAGCAGUGGGGAAUAUUGGACAAUGGGCGAAAGCCUGAUCCAGCCAUGCCGCAUGAGUGAAGAAGGCCUUCGGGUUGUAAAGCUCUUUUAGUGAGGAAGAUAAUGACGGUACUCACAGAAGAAGUCCUGGCUAACUCCGUGCCAGCAGCCGCGGUAAUACGGAGAGGGCUAGCGUUAUUCGGAAUCAUUGGGCGUAAAGGGCGCGUAGGCGGGUUAGUAAGUUAAAAGUGAAAUCCCAAGGCUCAACCUUGGAACUGCUUUUAAAACUGCUAGUCUAGAGAUUGAAAGAGGAUAGAGGAAUUCCUAGUGUAGAGAUGAAAUUCGUAAAUAUUANGAGGAACACCAGUGGCGAANGNGUCUAUCUGGUUCAAAUCUGACGCUGA